UACGUAGGGGGCAAGCGUUGUCCGGAAUCAUUGGGCGUAAAGAGCGUGUAGGCGGUCCUGUAAGUCCGCCGUGAAAGUCCAGGGCUCAACCCUGGGAUGCCGGUGGAAACUGUCGGGCUAGAGUCCGGAAGAGGCGAGUGGAAUUCCUGGUGUAGCGGUAAAAUGCGCAGAUAUCAGGAGGAACACCGGUGGCGAAGGCGCUGCUCUGGGCCGGUACUGACGCUGAGGAGCGAAAGCGUGGGUAGCAAACAGG
rnacentral:rRNA from 1 species